rnacentral:rRNA from 1 species
GAUGGCAGAGAGGUCACACCCGUUCCCAUACCGAACACGGAAGUUAAGCUCUCUAGCGCCGAUGGUAGUUGGGACCUUGUCCCUGUGAGAGUAGGACGUCGCCAAGCU